rnacentral:rRNA from 1 species
UACGAAGGUGGCAAGCGUUGUUCGGAUUUACUGGGCGUACAGGGAGCGUAGGCGGUUGGAUAAGCCCUCCGUGAAAUCUCCAGGCUUAACCUGGAAAGUGCAGAGGGGACUGUUCAGCUAGAGGAUGGGAGAGGAGCGCGGAAUUCCCGGUGUAGCGGUGAAAUGCGUAGAGAUCGGGAGGAACACCCGUGGCGAAGGCGGCUCUCUGGGACGGUACUGACGCUGAGACGCGAAAGCGUGGGGAGCGAACAGG